rnacentral:rRNA from 1 species
UACGGGGGGGGCAAGCGUUGUUCGGAAUUACUGGGCGUAAAGGGCUCGUAGGCGGCCAACUAAGUCAGACGUGAAAUCCCUCGGCUUAACCGGGGAACUGCAUCUGAUACUGGAUGGCUUGAGAUUGGGAGAGGGAUGCGGAAUUCCAGGUGUAGCGGUGAAAUGCGUAGAUAUCUGGAGGAACACCGGUGGCGAAGGCGGCAAUCCUGGACCAACACUGACGCUGAGGAGCGAAAAGCCAGGGGAGCAAACGGG